GUAUAGUGAUGAAAUCCAUGCGUGUCAGCUGACUCCGGCCCCCCCUGGGUGUUUGAGUUCUGCCUGUCAACGUUCUGUUGGCUGGUGUUCUGAACCCCAGGGCUCUGGAACUCAUGAUCAGAUUUCACACUGGCUGAAUAC
ensembl:snoRNA SNORD10 small nucleolar RNA SNORD10